rnacentral:lncRNA from 1 species
UCAAGAGGAUUCUUGGUAAUUCUCUAAUUGUUCUUCUAAUUGUUCUCUAAUUAUCUUUGUUCUUCAAUAUUAUGAAUAUGACUUUGUUCUACUUCAAUAUAUUGCUUAUGACUUUGCUCUACUUGCUCAAGAUUAUAUUGUUCUUAGUUUAUCAUAGUUAUGUACUUGGCUUAGUUAGAUUGGAUCUAUAUACAUGCUUAGGAUCGUAUAGCGUUUAUCCAUUGGAUCCAUGGGUAAAUGAUAGAUAUUGUGUAGGAGUGGUGCUUAUACCGUAUUUAUCUGCGAUUGUACCCAAUAUGCC